UGCUGUUUUUCUUGCGUAUACGGUUUGGAUAAUCAAACCAUCAUCAGGAUGUGGCCCUUUUAGGAAGCUAACCAGUAUGUUGGAGUCUGUGAACCUGUGGGCUGAGAGGAUGAAGGACUAUCACCAAAUUCUUUCUUGGCUCAUUCGAGCUUACAAAGCUUUCACAGAUAACCCAAUCUUCUUGUUCAUGCCCUCUGGUGUAUUUCUACUGCUAAUAUAUUUCCGUAUUCAGGUAGUAGAUGGCCAAAGGAAAAUCAUCAGACGGUUAGAAAAGCAAAUUGACGAUGAAAGUAAAGACAAAAAAUUCCUCAUAAGCCAACUGCAGUAUUGGUAUGAGGAAAACAAUCCAAAUUCUACUAAGAGAUACAGGUGAACUGGGUUCACUU